rnacentral:rRNA from 1 species
AACGAACGCUGGCGGCAGGCUUAACACAUGCAAGUCGAACGGGUGUCGCAAGACAUCAGUGGCAGACGGGUGAGCAACACGUGGGAACCUCCCUAGGGGUACGGAACAACUCAGGGAAACUUGAGCUAAUACCGUAUACGUCCGUAAGGAGAAAGAUUCAUCGCCCCUAGACGGGCCCGCGUCGGAUUAGGUAGUUGGUGGGGUAACGGCCUACCAAGCCUACGAUCCGUAGCUGAUCUGAGAGGAUGAUCAGCCACACUGGGACUGAGACACGGCCCAGACUCCUACGGGAGGCAGCAGUGGGGAAUCUUGGACAAUGGGCGCAAGCCUGAUCCAGCCAUGCCGCGUGAGUGAAGAAGGCCUUAGGGUUGUAAAGCUCUUUUACCAGGGACGAUAAUGACGGUACCUGGAGAAUAAAGCCCCGGCAAACUUCGUGCCAGCAGCCGCGGUAAC